AUUGAACGCUGGCGGCAGGCUUAACACAUGCAAGUCGAGCGGGGGAAGGUAGCUUGCUACCGGACCUAGCGGCGGACGGGUGAGUAAUGCUUAGGAAUCUGCCUAUUAGUGGGGGACAACAUCUCGAAAGGGAUGCUAAUACCGCAUACGUCCUACGGGAGAAAGCAGGGGAUCUUCGGACCUUGCGCUAAUAGAUGAGCCUAAGUCGGAUUAGCUAGUUGGUGGGGUAAAGGCCUACCAAGGCGACGAUCUGUAGCGGGUCUGAGAGGAUGAUCCGCCAAACUGGGACUGAGACAAGACCCAGACUCCUACGGGAGGCAGCAGUGGGGAAUAUUGGACAAUGGGGGGAACCCUGAGCCAGCCAUGCCGCGUGUGUGAAGAAGGCCUUAUGGUUGUAAAGCACUUUAAGCGAGGAGGAGGCUACUCUAGUUAAUACCUAGGGAUAGUGGACGUUACUCGCAGAAUAAGCACCGGCUAACUCUGUGCCAGCCGCCGCAGUAA
rnacentral:rRNA from 1 species